rnacentral:rRNA from 1 species
UACAGAGGGUGCAAACGUUGUUCGGAAUUACUGGGCGUAAAGCGUGUGUAGGCGGCCCUGCAAGUCGGAUGUGAAAGCCCCGGGCUCAACCCGGGAAGUGCACCCGAAACUGCAGGGCUCGAGUACCGGAGAGGUUGGUGGAAUUCUCGGUGUAGAGGUGAAAUUCGUAGAUAUCGAGAGGAACACCGGUGGCGAAGGCGGCCAACUGGACGAGUACUGACGCUGAGACACGAAAGCGUGGGGAGCAAACAGG